rnacentral:rRNA from 1 species
AUUGAACGCUGGCGGAAUGCUUUACACAUGCAAGUCGAACGGCAGCACGGGGGCAACCCUGGUGGCGAGUGGCGAACGGGUGAGUAAUACAUCGGAACGUGCCCAUGUCGUGGGGGAUAACGUAGCGAGAGCUACGCUAAUACCGCAUACGAUCUACGGAUGAACGCGGGGGAUCGCAAGACCUCGCGCGAUUGGAGCGGCCGAUGGCAGAUUAGGUAGUUGGUGGGGUAAAGGCUCACCAAGCCGGCGAUCUGUAGCUGGUCUGAGAGGCCGACCAGCCGCGCGGGGGCGUGGACACGGCCCAGACUCCUGCGGGAGGCAGCAGUGAGGAAGUUUGGACAAGGGGCGCAAGCCUGAUCCCGCCCUUCCGCGGGCAGGCUGAAGGCCCUCGGGUUGUAAACUGCUUUUGUACGGCGCGAAAAGCCUUCUUCUAAUACAGGAGGGUCAUGACGGUACCGUAAGAACAAGCACCGGCUAACUACGUGCCAGCCGCCGCCGUAACAC